rnacentral:rRNA from 1 species
CCUUAGUAACGGCGAGUGAAGCGGCAAAAGCUCAAAUUUGAAAUCUGGUACCUUCGGUGCCCGAGUUGUAAUUUGGAGAGGGCAACUUUGGGGCCGUUCCUUGUCUAUGUUCCUUGGAACAGGACGUCAUAGAGGGUGAGAAUCCCGUGUGGCGAGGAGUGCGGUUCUUUGUAAAGUGCCUUCGAAGAGUCGAGUUGUUUGGGAAUGCAGCUCUAAGUGGGUGGUAAAUUCCAUCUAAAGCUAAAUAUUGGCGAGAGACCGAUAGCGAACAAGUACAGUGAUGGAAAGAUGAAAAGAACUUUGAAAAGAGAGUGAAAAAGUACGUGAAAUUGUUGAAAGGGAAGGGCAUUUGAUCAGACAUGGUGUUUUGUGCCCUCUGCUCCUUGUGGGUAGGGGAAUCUCGCAUUUCACUGGGCCAGCAUCAGUUUUGGUGGCAGGAUAAAUCCAUAGGAAUGUAGCUUGCCUCGGUAAGUAUUAUAGCCUGUGGGAAUACUGCCAGCUGGGACUGAGGACUGCGACGUAAGUCAAGGAUGCUGGCAUAAUGGUUAUAUGCCGCCCGUCUUGAAACACGGACCUCCU